UUUGAGAGUUUGAUCCUAGCUCAGGGUGAACGCUGGCGGCGUGGAUAAGGCAUGCAAGUCAAGGGGUCCGCCUUCGGGCGGAAACCGGCAAACGAGUUAGUAACACGUAGGUAACUACCCAUCACACGGGCAUAGCCAGCCGAAAGGCUGGGUAAUUCCCGAUGGUCUCGCGAGAGUAAAGUCCGCCAACCGGCGGAUGGUGGUGGAAGUGCCUGCGUCCUAUCAGCUUGUUGGUGGGGUAACGGCCUACCAAGGCUUUGACGGGUAGGGGACGUGAGAGCGUGUUCCCCAACGAUGGGACUGAGAUACGGCCCAUACUCCUACGGGAGGCAGCAGUCGAGAAUAUUGGACAAUGGAGGAAACUCUGAUCCAGCGACGCCGCGUGCGGGAUGACAGCCCUUGGGUUGUAAACCGCUUUUAAUUGGGAAGAAUCCGCCGCAAGGCGGAUGACGGUACCGAUUGAAUAAGGGGGUGCUAAUUCUGUGCCAGCAGCCGCGGUAAAACAGAACCCCCAAGCGUUACCCGAAUUUAUUGGGCGUAAAGUGUGCGUAGCCGGUUUGGCAAGUCGCGGGUUAAAUCUCGAAGGCUCAACCUUUGAGCUGCCCGCGAAACUGCCAGACUUGAGGGCGUUAGGGGCUGAUGGAACUCUUGGUGGAGGGGUG
rnacentral:rRNA from 1 species